AGCAGCCGCGGUAAUUCCAGCUCCAAUAGCGUAUAUUAAAGUUGUUGCAGUUAAAAAGCUCGUAGUUGAAUUUCGGGAUCGACGGGUCGGUCGCGCCUCUGGUGUGUACUGGCCCUGUCGGUUUCUCCCUUCUGACGAACCACGAUGUCAUUAAUUUGGUGUCGUGGGAAAUCAGGACUGUUACUUUGAAAAAAUUAGAGUGUUUAAAGCAGGCAUUCGCUUGAAUACAUUAGCAUGGAAUAAUGAAAUAGGACGUUUGAUCUUAUUUUGUUGGUUUCUAAGAUCGACGUAAUGAUUAAUAGGGAUAGUUGGGGGCAUUAGUAUUCAAUUGUCAGAGGUGAAAUUCUUGGAUUUAUUGAAGACUAACUACUGCGAAAGCAUUUGCCAAGGAUGUUUUCAUUAAUCAAGAACGAAAGUUAGGGGAUCGAAGACGAUCAGAUACCGUCGUAGUCUUAACCAUAAACUAUGCCGACUAGGGAUCGGAUGAUGUAAUUUUUAAUGACUCAUUCGGCGCCUUAAC
rnacentral:rRNA from 1 species